CCUACGGGAGGCUGCAGUGGGGAAUAUUGCACAAUGGGGGAAACCCUGAUGCAGCGACGCCGCGUGAGUGAAGAAGUAAUUCGUUAUGUAAAGCUCUAUCAGCAGGGAAGAAAAUGACGGUACCUGAGUAAGAAGCCCCGGCUAACUACGUGCCAGCAGCCGCGGUAAUACGUAGGGGGCAAGCGUUAUGCGGAUUUACGGGGUGUAAAGGGAGCGUAGACGGCAGUGCAAGUCUGGGGUGAAAGGCGGGGGCUCAACCCCCGGACUGCUAUGGAAACUGUACGGAUGGAGUGCAGGAGAGGUAAGUGGAAUGCGUGGUGUAGCGGUGAAAUGCGUAGAUAUUAGGAGGAACACCAGUGGCGAAGGCGGCUUACUGGCCUGUAACUGACGUUGAGGCACGAAAGCGUGGGGAGCGAACAGGAUUAGAUACCCCUGUAGUC
rnacentral:rRNA from 1 species